GUUGUAUGGUUAAGUGACUAAGCGUACACGGUGGAUGCCUAGGCAGUCAGAGGCGAUGAAGGACGUACUAACUUGCGAUAAGCGCAGAUAAGGCAGUAAGAGCCGUUUGAGUCUGCGAUUUCCGAAUGGGGAAACCCAACUGCAUAAGCAGUUACUGUUAACUGAAUACAUAGGUUAACAGAGCAAACCGGGGGAACUGAAACAUCUAAGUACCCCGAGGAGAAGAAAUCAACCGAGAUUCCGGUAGUAGCGGCGAGCGAACCUGGAUUAGCCCUUAAGCACUCGGUGAAGUAGGUGAACAAGCUGGAAAGCUUGGCGAUACAGGGUGAUAGCCCCGUAACCGACGCUUCAUCGAGCGUGAAAUCGAGUAGGGCGGGACACGUGAUAUCCUGUCUGAAUAUGGGGGGACCAUCCUCCAAGGCUAAAUACUCCUGACUGACCGAUAGUGAACCAGUACCGUGAGGGAAAGGCGAAAAGAACCCCUGUGAGGGGAGUGAAAUAGAACCUGAAACCGUGUACGUACAAGCAGUAGGAGCACCUUCGUGGUGUGACUGCGUACCUUUUGUAUAAUGGGUCAGCGACUUAUAUUCAGUGGCAAGGUUAACCGUAUAGGGGAGCCGUAGCGAAAGCGAGUCUUAACUGGGCGCUCAGUCUCUGGAUAUAGACCCGAAACCGGGUGAUCUAGCCAUGGGCAGGUUGAAGGUUGAGUAACAUCAACUGGAGGACCGAACCGACUAAUGUUGAAAAAUUAGCGGAUGACUUGUGGCUAGGGGUGAAAGGCCAAUCAAACUCGGAGAUAGCUGGUUCUCCCCGAAAGCUAUUUAGGUAGCGCCUCGGACGAAUACUACUGGGGGUAGAGCACUGUUAAGGCUAGGGGGUCAUCCCGACUUACCAACCCUUUGCAAACUCCGAAUACCAGUAAGUACUAUCCGGGAGACACACGGCGGGUGCUAACGUCCGUCGUGGAGAGGGAAACAACCCAGACCGCCAGCUAAGGUCCCAAAGUAUUGCUAAGUGGGAAACGAUGUGGGAAGGCUCAGACAGCUAGGAUGUUGGCUUAGAAGCAGCCAUCAUUUAAAGAAAGCGUAAUAGCUCACUAGUCGAGUCGGCCUGCGCGGAAGAUGUAACGGGGCUAAGCAAUACACCGAAGCUGCGGCAAUAUCUUUUAGAUAUUGGGUAGGGGAGCGUUCUGUAAGCCGUUGAAGGUGGUCUGUAAGGGCUGCUGGAGGUAUCAGAAGUGCGAAUGCUGACAUGAGUAACGACAAAGGGGGUGAAAAACCUCCUCGCCGGAAGACCAAGGGUUCCUGUCCAACGUUAAUCGGGGCAGGGUGAGUCGACCCCUAAGGUGAGGCCGAAAGGCGUAAUCGAUGGGAAACGGGUUAAUAUUCCCGUACUUCUGACUAUUGCGAUGGGGGGACGGAGAAGGCUAGGUGGGCCAGGCGACGGUUGUCCUGGUUCAAGUGCGUAGGCUUAAGAGUUAGGUAAAUCCGGCUCUUUCUAAGGCUGAGACACGACGUCGAGCUGCUACGGCAGUGAAGUCAUUGAUGCCAUGCUUCCAGGAAAAGCCUCUAAGCUUCAGAUAGUCAGGAAUCGUACCCCAAACCGACACAGGUGGUCGGGUAGAGAAUACCAAGGCGCUUGAGAGAACUCGGGUGAAGGAACUAGGCAAAAUGGUACCGUAACUUCGGGAGAAGGUACGCUCUUGAUGGUGAAGUCCCUUGCGGAUGGAGCUGACGAGAGUCGCAGAUACCAGGUGGCUGCAACUGUUUAUUAAAAACACAGCACUGUGCAAAAUCGCAAGAUGACGUAUACGGUGUGACGCCUGCCCGGUGCCGGAAGGUUAAUUGAUGGGGUUAGCGCAAGCGAAGCUCUUGAUCGAAGCCCCGGUAAACGGCGGCCGUAACUAUAACGGUCCUAAGGUAGCGAAAUUCCUUGUCGGGUAAGUUCCGACCUGCACGAAUGGCGUAAUGAUGGCCACGCUGUCUCCACCCGAGACUCAGUGAAAUUGAAAUCGCUGUGAAGAUGCAGUGUACCCGCGGCUAGACGGAAAGACCCCGUGAACCUUUACUACAGCUUGGCACUGAACAUUGAACCUACAUGUGUAGGAUAGGUGGGAGGCUAUGAAGACGUGACGCUAGUUGCGUUGGAGCCGUCCUUGAAAUACCACCCUUGUAUGUUUGAUGUUCUAACUUAGCCCCAUUAUCUGGGGUGAGGACAGUGCCUGGUGGGUAGUUUGACUGGGGCGGUCUCCUCCCAAAGAGUAACGGAGGAGCACGAAGGUGGGCUAAUCACGGUUGGACAUCGUGAGGUUAGUGCAAUGGCAUAAGCCCGCUUAACUGCGAGAAUGACGGUUCGAGCAGGUGCGAAAGCAGGUCAUAGUGAUCCGGUGGUUCUGUAUGGAAGGGCCAUCGCUCAACGGAUAAAAGGUACUCCGGGGAUAACAGGCUGAUACCGCCCAAGAGUUCAUAUCGACGGCGGUGUUUGGCACCUCGAUGUCGGCUCAUCACAUCCUGGGGCUGAAGUCGGUCCCAAGGGUAUGGCUGUUCGCCAUUUAAAGUGGUACGCGAGCUGGGUUUAGAACGUCGUGAGACAGUUCGGUCCCUAUCUGCCGUGGGCGUUGGAAGAUUGAAGGGGGCUGCUCCUAGUACGAGAGGACCGGAGUGGACGAACCUCUGGUGUUCGGGUUGUGUCGCCAGACGCAUUGCCCGGUAGCUAAGUUCGGAAUUGAUAAGCGCUGAAAGCAUCUAAGCGCGAAGCGAGCCCUGAGAUGAGUCUUCCCUG
rnacentral:rRNA from 1 species